GCAAUCCCCUUCACUGGGGCAACAAACUUCCACAGGACCAAGGGCCUCCCUCCAAUUGAUGCCAGAUAAUGCAGUGCUCUGUUAUGUAUGCAGCUGGAGCCAUGGACCGACCCACCCAUGUAUACUCUUUGGUUGGUGAUUUAGUCCUGGGUGCUCUGUGGGGUUCAGUUAGUUGAUAUUGUUGCUCUUCCUUUGGGGUUGUAAUCUCCUUCAGCUCAUUCAGUCCUCCUAAUUCUUCUAUUAUAGUCCCAGGUCUCAAUUCAAUGGUUGACUGUGAGCAUCUGCAUCUGUCUUAGUCCAGUGUUGGCAGAACCUCUCAGAGGACAGCCAUACUAGGCUCCUGUAUGCAAGUACUUCUUGGCAUCAGCAAGGGGUUUGGUGUCUUCUUCACUCUCUAUAAAACAAGAAUAUAGUAAGCAUUUUACUGUGUGUGUUUUUCAUUCCUUGAAAGAUUUUCCCAGUAAUGCCUUUCCUCUGAGUAGCUAAUCUUCCUUUGAACCUUAACAUAAAGGUUUAUCCCUGCCAAGCUUCCUCUGACAGUGUAUCUAUACAUAAUCUAAGAUGGAUUUAUUAUCAAACCCAAUGUCCCUUAUAAUUACAUAAUUGUUUGUGUAUAAUUGUUGUUUUCAUUGUUUUCUUAUUAAUUUCCAUAUCCUGUAAUUAGCAAUUUAUUUCAUUUCCUCAGUUAAGUAUUCCUACUCCACACUGGAGUAAUUCAUAUUAGAAACAGGCCUGGCUAGUUUAUCAUUAUGAUGCACAGCCCUGGAUGUGACAGUGAUAUCUUAAUAUAAAUUUUAAGUGAACCUUUAUCUUCAUGUACACUUAUUUUUCUUUUUUUAAAAUUAUGACAACAAUAAUAUAUUUUUUUUGGAGAGCUCAACACUUUUCCGUGAUUCUUACAAAUACUAUAAUUAAUUAUACAGGAAAAUUCUUGACUUCAUUCUUGUUCAU
rnacentral:lncRNA from 1 species